CUCAAAACAGAACACUAGAGCUGGAAAUGACCUGAGAACACAGAAUGUUUCAGCUUGAAGGGACAGAAGAGAUCAUUUCAUCCAACUCUCUCUCUCCUCUCAAAUUUUACAAAUGAUAAAGAUAUAUGAAAUGGCCAAGGGCAUCCAAACCACCAGAGCUGAGACCAGAAACCACAUUUCCUAAGUUCCAGUCCUGGACAUUUGUUCCCUAUGUUACCAGAUCUAUGCCCACUACUACUAGACCUAUGCCCAAGAAAAGGAAAUAAGAAAUGGAAGGAGAGAGGAAGGAAGAAAAGAAGGGAAAGAAAUAUAACAGAAAUUUACAGAAGAGAAGGAAGAAACAGCUCAGGUCUGAGAAGUCAUGGGAAGUUUCUUGAAGAAGAAGGUGGCAUUGAAAUUAGGUAUCACUCUAGUAUGGUUCUUCUACACCCUCUAUCAAAAUAUUAAGUAUUUGCAAUCUUUGCCAUAAUAAUAGCUAACAUUUACAUGGUACUUUUUUAUGCCAGGCCUUGUCCUACAUGGUUUACAAUUGUUAUCCCAUUUUACAGAGAAGGAAACUGAAGUAGAGAGAUUAAGUGACUUGCUCUGGGUUACCCAGCUAGGCAGGGUCUGCUGUUAAACUUGAACUCAAAUCUUUCUGACUCUAGAUCCAUUACUCUAUCUAUCCACUGUGCAACCUAGUUGCCUGUCAUGUAUCCUAUCAAUAUCCUGUAUAACCAGAGGUAGAUGCCAUCUCUAGCUAGUUUGUGCUCAGCCUUCUGGUGUGAGGCAACAAUGGAUUCAGAGGCUCAUUUGUCAAGUACUUUGGGAUCCAGAGGCAUUUAAUGCCUGAGAUCAAUGUGUGAUAUUAUGCCAGUGACAAAAGAUGUCUUGUCACUUUUUUAGGGAGCAAGGCACAGUGUUGGCAUGAACUGGGGCUAUGGUUCUCUGGAGGGUUUUAGGACAAGGAAUUAACUUUGUUUCUCAUAUACUCACACAUUGCCUUUUUGGUGAGGACCCCAAGGUGUGUGUGUGUGUGUGUGUGUGUGUGUGUGUGUGUGUGUGUGUGUGUGUGUGUGUGUUUAAGGGAGCUGAAAGAGAGGACAGUUUCCUCUUUUAGAGAAAAAUCUAAGUGGUGUGGAUAAGGGAACAAUUCCCCAUUUCCUGAAAAGAAAAAGUGUAAGAAAUUGCCAUGAUAAUAUAGUAGAGAUCCUAAAGCCAGGUCAUGGAGGGAGGAAAUGAGUAGUUGCAAUUAUCCCUUCCACAACAUGACUCUCCCCAUACUCGUUUUUAUAUAUUGCUGAUCAGCAUAAGAAAUUAAGUGAGAAUUUUGGGGGAGUUUUGCAGAAGCAGCAGACAACAUGUGAAAGCUAGCAGACAAUACAGAACAAGUUUAGAAACCGAGAAAUAUAUACUUAACCCAAAAUUUACAGUAAAGCAAACAUUACAUAAAAGAAAAAAGAAAAAA
rnacentral:lncRNA from 1 species